UACGUAGGGGGCAAGCGUUAAUCGGAAUUACUGGGCGUAAAGCGUGCGCAGGCGGCUUUGCAAGACAGAUGUGAAAUCCCCGGGCUUAACCUGGGAACUGCAUUUGUGACUGCAAGGCUGGAGUGCGGCAGAGGGGGAUGGAAUUCCGCGUGUAGCAGUGAAAUGCGUAGAUAUGCGGAGGAACACCGAUGGCGAAGGCAAUCCCCUGGGCCUGCACUGACGCUCAUGCACGAAAGCGUGGGGAGCAAACAGG
rnacentral:rRNA from 1 species